AGCGUACACGGUGGAUGCCCUGGCAGUCAGAGGCGAUGAAGGACGUGCUAAUCUGCGAUAAGCGUCGGUAAGGUGAUAUGAACCGUUAUAACCGGCGAUUUCCGAAUGGGGAAACCCAGUGUGAUUCGUCACACUAUCAUUAACUGAAUCCAUAGGUUAAUGAGGCGAACCGGGGGAACUGAAACAUCUAAGUACCCCGAGGAAAAGAAAUCAACCGAGAUUCCCCCAGUAGCGGCGAGCGAACGGGGAGCAGCCCAGAGCCUGAAUCAGUGUGUGUGUUAGUGGAAGCGUCUGGAAAGGCGCGCGAUACAGGGUGACAGCCCCGUACACAAAAAUGCACAUACUGUGAGCUCGAUGAGUAGGGCGGGACACGUGGUAUCCUGUCUGAAUAUGGGGGGACCAUCCUCCAAGGCUAAAUACUCCUGACUGACCGAUAGUGAACCAGUACCGUGAGGGAAAGGCGAAAAGAACCCCGGCGAGGGGAGUGAAAAAGAACCUGAAACCGUGUACGUACAAGCAGUGGGAGCACGCUUAGGCGUGUGACUGCGUACCUUUUGUAUAAUGGGUCAGCGACUUAUAUUCUGUAGCAAGGUUAACCGAAUAGGGGAGCCGAAGGGAAACCGAGUCUUAACUGGGCGUUAAGUUGCAGGGUAUAGACCCGAAACCCGGUGAUCUAGCCAUGGGCAGGUUGAAGGUUGGGUAACACUAACUGGAGGACCGAACCGACUAAUGUUGAAAAAUUAGCGGAUGACUUGUGGCUGGGGGUGAAAGGCCAAUCAAACCGGGAGAUAGCUGGUUCUCCCCGAAAGCUAUUUAGGUAGCGCCUCGUGAAUUCAUCUCCGGGGGUAGAGCACUGUUUCGGCAAGGGGGUCAUCCCGACUUACCAACCCGAUGCAAACUGCGAAUACCGGAGAAUGUUAUCACGGGAGACACACGGCGGGUGCUAACGUCCGUCGUGAAGAGGGAAACAACCCAGACCGCCAGCUAAGGUCCCAAAGUCAUGGUUAAGUGGGAAACGAUGUGGGAAGGCCCAGACAGCCAGGAUGUUGGCUUAGAAGCAGCCAUCAUUUAAAGAAAGCGUAAUAGCUCACUGGUCGAGUCGGCCUGCGCGGAAGAUGUAACGGGGCUAAACCAUGCACCGAAGCUGCGGCAGCGACGCUGAUGCGUUGUUGGGUAGGGGAGCGUUCUGUAAGCCUGCGAAGGUGUGCUGUGAGGCAUGCUGGAGGUAUCAGAAGUGCGAAUGCUGACAUAAGUAACGAUAAAGCGGGUGAAAAGCCCGCUCGCCGGAAGACCAAGGGUUCCUGUCCAACGUUAAUCGGGGCAGGGUGAGUCGACCCCUAAGGCGAGGCCGAAAGGCGUAGUCGAUGGGAAACAGGUUAAUAUUCCUGUACUUGGUGUUACUGCGAAGGGGGGACGGAGAAGGCUAUGUUGGCCGGGCGACGGUUGUCCCGGUUUAAGCGUGUAGGCUGGUUUUCCAGGCAAAUCCGGAAAACUAAGGCUGAGGCGUGAUGACGAGGCACUACGGUGCUGAAGCAACAAAUGCCCUGCUUCCAGGAAAAGCCUCUAAGCAUCAGGUAACAUCAAAUCGUACCCCAAACCGACACAGGUGGUCAGGUAGAGAAUACCAAGGCGCUUGAGAGAACUCGGGUGAAGGAACUAGGCAAAAUGGUGCCGUAACUUCGGGAGAAGGCACGCUGAUAUGUAGGUGAAGUCCCUCGCGGAUGGAGCUGAAAUCAGUCGAAGAUACCAGCUGGCUGCAACUGUUUAUUAAAAACACAGCACUGUGCAAACACGAAAGUGGACGUAUACGGUGUGACGCCUGCCCGGUGCCGGAAGGUUAAUUGAUGGGGUCAGCGCAAGCGAAGCUCUUGAUCGAAGCCCCGGUAAACGGCGGCCGUAACUAUAACGGUCCUAAGGUAGCGAAAUUCCUUGUCGGGUAAGUUCCGACCUGCACGAAUGGCGUAAUGAUGGCCAGGCUGUCUCCACCCGAGACUCAGUGAAAUUGAACUCGCUGUGAAGAUGCAGUGUACCCGCGGCAAGACGGAAAGACCCCGUGAACCUUUACUAUAGCUUGACACUGAACAUUGAGCCUUGAUGUGUAGGAUAGGUGGGAGGCUUUGAAGUGUGGACGCCAGUCUGCAUGGAGCCGACCUUGAAAUACCACCCUUUAAUGUUUGAUGUUCUAACGUUGACCCGUAAUCCGGGUUGCGGACAGUGUCUGGUGGGUAGUUUGACUGGGGCGGUCUCCUCCUAAAGAGUAACGGAGGAGCACGAAGGUUGGCUAAUCCUGGUCGGACAUCAGGAGGUUAGUGCAAUGGCAUAAGCCAGCUUGACUGCGAGCGUGACGGCGCGAGCAGGUGCGAAAGCAGGUCAUAGUGAUCCGGUGGUUCUGAAUGGAAGGGCCAUCGCUCAACGGAUAAAAGGUACUCCGGGGAUAACAGGCUGAUACCGCCCAAGAGUUCAUAUCGACGGCGGUGUUUGGCACCUCGAUGUCGGCUCAUCACAUCCUGGGGCUGAAGUAGGUCCCAAGGGUAUGGCUGUUCGCCAUUUAAAGUGGUACGCGAGCUGGGUUUAGAACGUCGUGAGACAGUUCGGUCCCUAUCUGCCGUGGGCGCUGGAGAACUGAGGGGGGCUGCUCCUAGUACGAGAGGACCGGAGUGGACGCAUCACUGGUGUUCGGGUUGUCAUGCCAAUGGCACUGCCCGGUAGCUAAAUGCGGAAGAGAUAAGUGCUGAAAGCAUCUAAGCACGAAACUUGCCCCGAGAUGAGUUCUCCCUGACUCCUUGA
rnacentral:rRNA from 1 species